rnacentral:rRNA from 1 species
AUUGAACGCUGGCGGCAUGCUUUACACAUGCAAGUCGAACGGUAACAGGCCGCAAGGUGCUGACGAGUGGCGAACGGGUGAGUAAUGCAUCGGAACGUGCCCAGUCGUGGGGGAUAACGCAGCGAAAGCUGUGCUAAUACCGCAUACGAUCUGUGGAUGAAAGCGGGGGACCGUAAGGCCUCGCGCGAUGGAGCGGCCGAUGUCAGAUUAGGUAGUUGGUGGGGUAAAGGCUCACCAAGCCGACGAUCUGUAGCUGGUCUGAGAGGACGACCAGCCACACUGGGACUGAGACACGGCCCAGACUCCUACGGGAGGCAGCAGUGGGGAAUUUUGGACAAUGGGCGCAAGCCUGAUCCAGCAAUGCCGCGUGCAGGAAGAAGGCCUUCGGGUUGUAAACUGCUUUUGUACGGAGCGAAAAGGCUCUCUCUAAUACAGGGGGCUCAUGACGGUACCGUAAGAAUAAGCACCGGCUAACUACGUGCCAGCCGCCGCAGUAAAAC